rnacentral:rRNA from 1 species
AACGAACGCUGGCGGCGCGUCUAAUACAUGCAAGUCGAGCGAGAAGACGUAGCAAUACGUUUGUAAAGCGGCGAACGGGUGAGGAAUACAUGGGUAACCUACCCUCGAGUGGGGAAUAACUAGCCGAAAGGUUAGCUAAUACCGCGUACGCUUCUUGGACUUCGGUUCAGGGAGGAAAGCGAUACCGUGGGUAUCGCGCUCUUGGAUGGGCUCAUGUCCUAUCAGCUUGUUGGUGAGGUAACGGCUCACCAAGGCUUCGACGGGUAGCUGGUCUGAGAGGACGAUCAGCCACACUGGCACUGCGACACGGGCCAGACUCCUACGGGAGGCAGCAGUAAGGAAUAUUGCGCAAUGGGCGAAAGCCUGACGCAGCGACGCCGCGUGGGGGAUGAAGGUCUUCGGAUUGUAAACCCCUUUCGGGAGGGAAGAUGGAACGAGCAAUCGUUCGGACGGUACCUCCAGAAGCAGCCACGGCUAACUUCGUGCCAGCAGCCGCGGUAAUACGAAGGUGGCAAGCGUUGUUCGGAUUUACUGGGCGUACAGGGAGCGUAGGCGGUUCGGUAAGCCCUCUGUGAAAUCUCCAGGCUUAACCUGGAACAGUCGGAGGGGACUGCUGGGCUAGAGGACGGGAGAGGAGCGCGGAAUUCCCGGU